GGAAAAGAAACCAACAGGGAUUGCCUUAGUAGCGGCGAGUGAAGCGGCAAAAGCUCAAAUUUGAAAUCUGGCACUUUCAGUGUCCGAGUUGUAAUUUGAAGAAGGUAUCUUUGGGUCUGGCUCUUGUCUAUGUUUCUUGGAACAGAACGUCACAGAGGGUGAGAAUCCCGUGCGAUGAGAUGUCCCAGACCUAUGUAAAGUUCCUUCGAAGAGUCGAGUUGUUUGGGAAUGCAGCUCUAAGUGGGUGGUAAAUUCCAUCUAAAGCUAAAUAUUGGCGAGAGACCGAUAGCGAACAAGUACAGUGAUGGAAAGAUGAAAAGAACUUUGAAAAGAGAGUGAAAAAGUACGUGAAAUUGUUGAAAGGGAAGGGCUUGAGAUCAGACUUGGUAUUUUGUAUGUUACUCUCUCGGGGGUGGCCUCUACAGUUUACCGGGCCAGCAUCAGUUUGAGCGGUAGGAUAAGUGCAAAGAAAUGUGGCACUGCUUCGGUAGUGUGUUAUAGUCUUUGUCGAUACUGCCAGCUUAGACUGAGGACUGCGGCUUCGGCCUAGGAUGUUGGCAUAAUGAUCUUAAGUCGC
rnacentral:rRNA from 1 species